rnacentral:rRNA from 1 species
AACGAACGCUGGCGGCAGGCCUAACACAUGCAAGUCGAACGCCGUAGCAAUACGGAGUGGCAGACGGGUGAGUAACACGUGGGAACGUACCCUUCGGUUCGGAAUAACUCAGGGAAACUUGAGCUAAUACCGGAUACGUCCGAGAGGAGAAAGAUUUAUCGCCGAGGGAUCGGCCCGCGUCUGAUUAGCUUGUUGGUGAGGUAACGGCUCACCAAGGCGACGAUCAGUAGCUGGUCGAGAGGAUGAUCAGCCACAUUGGGACUGAGGCACGGCCCAAACUCCUACGGGAGGCAGCAGUGGGGAAUAUUGGGCAAUGGGCGAAAGCCUGACCCAGCAACGCCGCGUGAAGGAUGAAGUAUUUCGGUAUGUAAACUUCGAAAGAAUAGGAAGAAUAAAUGA